AGACCCGAAACCCGGUGAUCUAGCCAUGGGCAGGUUGAAGGUUGGGUAACACUAACUGGAGGACCGAACCGACUAAUGUUGAAAAAUUAGCGGAUGACCUGUGGCUGGGGGUGAAAGGCCAAUCAAACCGGGAGAUAGCUGGUUCUCCCCGAAAGCUAUUUAGGUAGCGCCUCGUGAAUUCAUCUCCGGGGGUAGAGCACUGUUUCGGCUAGGGGGCCAUCCCGGCUUACCAACCCGAUGCAAACUGCGAAUACCGGAGAAUGUUAUCACGGGAGACACACGGCGGGUGCUAACGUCCGUCGUGAAGAGGGAAACAACCCAGACCGCCAGCUAAGGUCCCAAAGUCAUGGUUAAGUGGGAAACGAUGUGGGAAGGCCCAGACAGCCAGGAUGUUGGCUUAGAAGCAGCCAUCAUUUAAAGAAAGCGUAAUAGCUCACUGGUCGAGUCGGCCUGCGCGGAAGAUGUAACGGGGCUAAACCAUGCACCGAAGCUGCGGCAGCGACACUCAGGUGUUGUUGGGUAGGGGAGCGUUCUGUAAGCCUGCGAAGGUGGCCUGUGAGGGUUGCUGGAGGUAUCAGAAGUGCGAAUGCUGACAUAAGUAACGAUAAAGCGGGUGAAAAGCCCGCUCGCCGGAAGACCAAGGGUUCCUGUCCAACGUUAAUCGGGGCAGGGUGAGUCGACCCCUAAGGCGAGGCCGAAAGGCGUAGUCGAUGGGAAACGGGUUAAUAUUCCCGUACUUGGUGUUACUGCGAAGGGGGGACGGAGAAGGCUAUGUUGGCCGGGCGACGGUUGUCCCGGUUUAAGCGUGUAGGUGUGUGUUCCAGGUAAAUCCGGUUCACUUUAACACUGAGGCGUGAUGACGAGGCACUACGGUGCUGAAGCAACAAAUGCCCUGCUUCCAGGAAAAGCCUCUAAGCAUCAGGUAACAUCAAAUCGUACCCCAAACCGACACAGGUGGUCAGGUAGAGAAUACCAAGGCGCUUGAGAGAACUCGGGUGAAGGAACUAGGCAAAAUGGUGCCGUAACUUCGGGAGAAGGCACGCUGACAUGUAGGUGAAGUGAUUUACUCAUGGAGCUGAAGUCAGUCGAAGAUACCAGCUGGCUGCAACUGUUUAUUAAAAACACAGCACUGUGCAAACACGAAAGUGGACGUAUACGGUGUGACGCCUGCCCGGUGCCGGAAGGUUAAUUGAUGGGGUCAGCGCAAGCGAAGCUCCUGAUCGAAGCCCCGGUAAACGGCGGCCGUAACUAUAACGGUCCUAAGGUAGCGAAAUUCCUUGUCGGGUAAGUUCCGACCUGCACGAAUGGCGUAAUGAUGGCCAGGCUGUCUCCACCCGAGACUCAGUGAAAUUGAACUCGCUGUGAAGAUGCAGUGUACCCGCGGCAAGACGGAAAGACCCCGUGAACCUUUACUAUAGCUUGACACUGAACAUUGAGCCUUGAUGUGUAGGAUAGGUGGGAGGCUUUGAAGUGUGGAC
rnacentral:rRNA from 1 species